CGAAUCGUUCGCGAACGACACAACACUUCGCGUCAUUAGUUUGGGCACUUCCGGGUUGAGACAAUUGAGAAGUAGACAAGUUGUGUUAGCUUUUACAAGCCUUGGAAAAGAUAAGUCUGUGUGAACCGCCCCAGGUAACAAGUUGACUUGAGACAGACGAAGGCGGCUUUGGAUGCUGAACUUCCCGUCUGGGCCUCUGCUGGGUUGACUGGUGUUGAAGUCCGACAGCUCUUUGGUGUCAUCCAGAAACCAGGAGACGUUAACGGACGCGGGACUGAAGCCAAACACCAAACACACCAGUUCACCACGACCCUGGAGCAAGAUGGCUGACGGUUGGGUAGGAGUUACUGUGGCUGUGGAGAUGAAAGUUGUAAGGAAGACACUUGUUUAUAUGCAUCCCAGUCAUCUGCUGUCACACUGAGGAAGCUCCGUAAGGUCUCUGUACCAUUGCUGUGACGAGUUGGCUCCUCCGUGUGGGAAUUCUGAGAGUAUUUCUUCCCAUCUACUUUCCAGGAGAUGGCAAAAUCAUGAAGUCGAGGGCCAACCAAAAGACAAGUAAUGGUCACCUUGUCCCUCAGCUGAGACUCUAUUCCAGCUGCAGCUUUUUCAGGUCAUUUUGAAUUUCUGAGGAAAAAUCUGCAAGAAAAGCAUCACUCACAGACAUCAUUUUAUUUUUGUAUUUUUCUUUGAAUUGGCAAGACCCAGGAGAGGAAGAAGACGUGUACGAAGACAAGUCACACAGACCACCUACCUGUACGAGUUGGGUGGUCCUGGUGACGUAUGUGGAGUUUACAGGGUUGUCAUUGACAAGCCAAGACACCAGAACCUCUUGGGGGAAGAAGUCUUUCACUAGGCAAGUCAGGAUAACCAUGUUUUUAACAGUGUCAUCCACUGGACACAUCAUAAACACCGUAGGAUUUUGA